rnacentral:rRNA from 1 species
AGAAUGAACGCUGGCGGCGUGCCUAACACAUGCAAGUCGCACGAGAAAGGGACUUCGGUCCUGAGUAAAGUGGCGCACGGGUGAGUAACACGUGAAUAAUCUACCUCCGAGUGGGGAAUAACUGAGAGAAAUCUUAGCUAAUACCGCAUAAUACCCACGGGUCAAAGCAGCAAUGCGCUUGGAGAGGAGUUCGCGGCCGAUUAGCUAGUUGGCGGGGUAAUGGCCCACCAAGGCGAUGAUCGGUA